GAAGCUGACCAGACAGUCGCCGCUUCGUCGUCGUCCUUUCGGGGAGACGGGCGGAGGGGAGGAAAGUCCGGGCUCCAUAGGGCAGGGUGCCAGGUAACGCCUGGGGGGGAAAACCACGACCAGUGCAACAGAGAGCAAACCGCCGAUGGCCCACGUAAGUGGGAUCAGGUAAGGGUGAAAGGGUGCGGUAAGAGCGCACCGCGCGGCUGGUAACAGUCCGUGGCACGGUAAACUCCACCCGGAGCAAGGCCAAAUAGGGGUUCAUAAGGUACGGCCCGUACUGAACCCGGGUAGGCUGCUUGAGCCAGUGAGCGAUUGCUGGCCUAGAUGAAUGACUGUCCACGACAGAACCCGGCUUAUCGGUCAG
rnacentral:RNase_P_RNA from 2 species